GAUCCUGGCUCAGAUUGAACGCUGGCGGCAUGCCUUACACAUGCAAGUCGAACGGCAGCAUGGGUGCUUGCACCUGAUGGCGAGUGGCGAACGGGUGAGUAAUGCAUCGGAACGUACCCGGAAGUGGGGAUAACGUAGCGAAAGUUACGCUAAUACCGCAUAUUCUGUGAGCAGGAAAGAGGGGGAUCGCAAGACCUCUCGCUUUCGGAGCGGCCGAUGUCGGAUUAGCUAGUUGGCGGGGUAAAGGCCCACCAAGGCAACGAUCCGUAGCGGGUCUGAGAGGAUGACCAGCCACACUGGGACUGAGACACGGCCCAGACUCCUACGGGAGGCAGCAGUGGGAAUAUUGCGCAAUGGGCGAAAGCCUGACGCAGCGACGCCGCGUGGGUGAUGAAGGCCUUCGGGUCGUAAAGCCCUGUCGCAGGGGAAGAAUAAGCAUCGGUAUAAUACGCCGGUGCCCUGACGGUACCCUGCAAGAAAGCACCGGCUAACUCCGUG
rnacentral:rRNA from 1 species